AAAAAAACCUGGAAAUUGUGACCGAAAUUUGUGACAGAUUUUGUCUGUCACAAAUUGUGACGACAUAGUGACAGAAUUGUGACGGAAUAUCAAAUUUGUGACAGAUUUUGUGACGGAAAAAAGUAAUUAUCACUUACUCAUUUCAGAUUAUUUUUGUGACAAAAUUGUAACAUAUUUGUGAGGGCAAUUUGUGACGGCUUUAGAAUCUGUCACAAAAUUCACUAUUUGUGACGGAUUUGUGACGGAAAAUCCAUUGUGACGGAUCAGUCUGUCACAAAUUUUCUGAAGUUAUAAUCUGUCACAAUUCCGUCACAAAAUUGUGACGGAAUUGUGAUAAAUAUGCUGGUCACAAUGUAAUUAAGAGAAAUAUUUGGUCAUUUACGCGGUUAAUUUUCUUUUGCGCGGUUUGUUGUAUUUUUCAAGGGGGAAAUUUCCUAAUUUUUCAAAAUCGUUCUCUCACUUUGGCUAAAAAAGAGAUUGAAAAAAAAACCUAAUUACUCUCUCUUUGCAAAAAAAAAACCUAAUUACUCUCUCAAUCUCUCAAUAUCCCAGGAAGAACCGCAGGUACAGUUUCAGUCAUUCACUCAGAUAUAGAAACUCAAAGAGGCACUAAAAUUUGAUUUGGCUUACCAUUUAUGGAGAGAUGGCUGGUGAUAGAAGUUAAUUUGGCUAAAGAUCUCACCAUGUGGACCCUAAACACACUGAAAGCUUAAGCAUAUAUGUGCGCCAUUAUUAGGUGAAAAAGAAAGUAAGGUUGCUGUCGUGUUGUUCUUCGUCUUCUACUGCCGUGUUUGUCUUCCCUGCUGUAGCUGCUAUUUCUCUCCUCCUCUUCCAUACUGCCUCUACUUAUGUUGCCUUCUUCGUGUCGCCGAUGCUUUUAACAAACAGAGGUUUGUAUCAAUGUUUGUUCAUUGUUGACUUUAAUCAAUUGUUAAAUUCAAGUGCAUAGAGUU